rnacentral:tRNA from 1 species
ACUUACCUAAUAUAACUCUUACCUAAUAUAACUAGUAUAGAAGUUUGUAUUAACAAGAUAAGUA